UUCCAGNUCCAAUAGNGUGUAUUAAAGUUUUGCAGUUAAAAGCUCGUAGUCGAAUUGAGGUGUACUUUGGAUUGAUAGAAUUUAUGACUAGUGGCGCCUUCUCCAUCGUGUGUACUUUUGAUGACUUUCACGAGUUGUCGGAGGUAACCGACAAGUUUACUUUGAAAAAAUUAGAGUGCUUAAAGCAGGCUUACGCUUGAAUAUUGAUGCAUGGAAUAAUGAAAUAGGACUUUGGUUCUAUUUUCAGUUGGUUUCAAGAACCGAAGUAAUGAUCGAUAGAAUCAGCCGGGGGCAUACGUACGCUUGUGGGAGAGGUGAAAUUCGAGGAUCGCAAGCAGACGAACUACUGCGAAAGCAUUUGCCAAGAAUGUUUUCAUUGAUCAAGAACGAAAGUUAGAGGAUCGAAAGCGAUCAGAUACCGCUCUAGUUCUAACCAUAAACUAUGCCGACUGACGAUUUACUAUGGCACACCUUUUUUGCCUUGUGAGCAGUCACUGGAAAACCUAAGUCUAUGGGUUCUGGGGGAAGUAUGGUUGCAAAGCUGAAACUUAAAGGAAUUGACGGAAGGGCACCACCAGGAGUGGAGCCUGCGGCUUAAUUUGACUCAACACGGGAAAUCUCACCCGGUCCGGACACUGUGAUGAUUGACAGAUUGAUAGCUCUUUCUUGAUUCAGUGGGUGGUGGUGCAUGGCCGUUCUUAGUUGGUGGAUUGAUUUGUCUGGUUAAUUCCGAUAACGAACGAGACUCUAACCUACUAAAUAGUACACGCAUGAAUUGACUCUAGUGCGUGCUGACUUCUUAGAGGAAUUAGUGGUUAUUAACCAAAUGAAAGAGAGCAAUAACAGGUCAGUGAUGCCCUUAGAUGUCCGGGGCCGCACGCGCGCUACAAUGGCAGUACCAGCGAGUUUAAUUCCUAGCCUGAGAGGGUCGGGUAAACUGCUAAUUGCUGUCAUAUCUGGGAUAGUGGUUUGCAAUUAUUCCACUUGAACGAGGAAUUCCUAGUAAGUACAAGUCACUAGCUUGUGCUGAUUACGUCCCUGCCCUUUGUACACACCGCCCGUCGCUACUACCGAUUGAAUAUUUUAGUGAGGUUGUUGGAUUCGACUUUAAGUGACGCAAGUUACUAAAGGUCGGAGAAGAUACCCAAACUGCAAUAUUAGAGGAAGUGAAA
rnacentral:rRNA from 1 species